UGGGGAAUAUUGCACAAUGGGCGAAAGCCUGAUGCAGCAACGCCGCGUGAGUGAUGAAGGCCUUCGGGUUGUAAAGCUCUGUCUUUUGGGACGAUAAUGACGGUACCAAAGGAGGAAGCCACGGCUAACUACGUGCCAGCAGCCGCGGUAAUACGUAGGUGGCAAGCGUUUGUCCGGAUUUUACUGGGCGUAAAGGAUGCGUAGGCGGAUUUUUAAGUGAGAUGUGAAAUACCCGGGCUUAACUUGGGUGCUGCAUUUCAAACUGGGAAUCUAGAGUGCGGGAGAGGAGAAUGGAAUUUCCUAGUGUAGCGGUGAAAUGCGUAGAGAUUAGGAAGAACACCAGUGGCGAAGGCGAUUCUCUGGACCGUAACUGACGCUGA
rnacentral:rRNA from 1 species